UCACUCCUACAAGAGAGAUUUGAAAACAUGACCUCCACACCGUCCCCCGGGAUUCCUCACUCCCCACUUCAAUCCGAGAAAUCCCGGCGAUAUGACCGCCAGCUUAGGCUCUGGGGGGAUCAUGGACAGAACGCGCUUGAGUACGCGAGUAUUUGCAUGAUAAACGCGAGUGCAAUUGGAACUGAGAUAUUGAAGUCUCUAGUUCUACCUGGAGUUGGAUCCUUUACUAUACUUGACCAACACAAGUUGACAGCUGAAGAUGCAGGAAACAAUUUUUUUCUGGAUCCAGAGUGUAUAGGGCAGAGUCGAGGUGAGGUUGCUAUGCGUCUUCUUCUUGAACUAAACCACGAGGUCCGGGGGGAUUGUGUACAGCAGUCUGUAGAACAGGUUCUUGAGAUGAAACGUGAUUUCUUCUCCUCCUUCUCCCUGGUUGUGUGCUGUGGACUACCGGAGAGAAGUUUGCUAAAUCUAGCAAAAAUUCUCUGGACGGAGAACAUUCCUCUUGUUACAGUUAAAACAGCCGGGUUCCUAGGAUACAUGAGAUUACAGGUCCGGGAACAUUUUAUCGUUGAGACUCAUCCUGAUAGUCGGACUCCUGAUCUCCGUCUGGAGAAUCCCUGGCCGGAGCUAGAGACCUGGCUCCAGAACCAGGUGGAUAAACUUGAAUCCAUGACGAGACAGGAGCACAGUCAUACUCCUUACCCUGUACUUCUAUACAGAUAUUUAAACGAAUGGCGAGCAGAGCAUAAUAAUGAUAUUCCUCAGAAUUAUAAAGAAAAAACUCAGUUCAAGGAAAACAUCAGAAAAGGCCUACUGAGAAGAGAGGGGAAUGAAGAGUUUGAAGAAGAUGAAGAGAAUUUUGAGGAGGCCUGUAAAGCUGUGAAUACCGUUAUAAAAUUAUCAAGUAUACCCAGUAACACUAUGACGAUAUUACAAGAUCCGUGUGCCAGCAACCUUCACAGCGGAGCUGAGAGUUUUUGGCUGAUAGCUCACGCAGUUGGAAGAUUUGUGGAUCUAGAGAACCGUCUUCCUGUAGAGGGGUUACUCCCAGAUAUGUUUAGUGAUAGCGCCAGAUAUGUCGAGCUGCAUAAUAUUUAUAGAGAGAGGGCCAACCAAGAUGCUGAAUCUAUUUAUAAAUAUAUUGUUCAAUUCCUAGAGUCUAACAACAGAUCUAGAGAUGUUGUUUCGGAGGCUGACGUACGGAGGUUUUGUCGUGAGUCAAGGUAUCUAAGAUUGGAGCGAGGAUGUAGCCUGGAGGCUGAAUAUACUGGAGGAGGAUCCUCCACCAGCCUCCAGAACGGUCUGGAGGACCCAGACUCAGAUGCACUGUAUUAUCUCGUACUCAGGGCUGUAGAUAGGUACAUAAGUGAGUACGGAUCUACCCCUGGAGAUACUGAUCCCGAGGUUGAGGCGGAUACUGCCAAACUUAAAACUAUUUUUACCCGGCUCUGCAUAGAGGCCGGUCUAACUCCGCCCCAGGGACAGGAUGAUCAUAUCCACGAGGUGUGCCGUUAUGGCGGAUCAGAGCUGCACACAGUUGCGGCAUUCCUUGGAGGAUGCGCAGCACACGAGUGUAUUAAACUACUCACAGGACAAUACGUUCCUAUCGAUAAUAUUGUUGUUUAUAACGCGAUAACAAGCAACGUUUCUACAUUCAAGGUUUAAACCCCGCCAUCUCAGACUGAUCUAUAUCCAUCAAUCCUGGUUAAAUCACUAAAGCAGUUAAAAAUCUUCUGGCUCCUUUAAUGUCUCUUAUGUCAUAUGUCUUAUGUCUUAUGACAAAUUAUCCUCAUUAUUUCAACAGAGUUGAAAACUUUAGAAUGGAUAUCCCACUCUAAAGUUUUCAACUCAGAACAUCUACCAUUUAUUUUAUAUCUCUUAGUACUGAUGUAAUUAAACGCUAUCACUAAUUACAGAAAACUUGAAAAUAUAUUUUGUUAAAAACAG